GCCGGGAUAGCUCAGCUGGGAGAGCAACAGACUGAAGUGAGUAAUCAUGAAUGGUUUUCUGGAGGUCCCGUGUUCAAUCCACGGUCCUGGCA